UCCUGCCUCCCGCCCCAUUCCUUCCCCUCCUUCACUCCUCCCUCUCCCCCAAGUCUCGGGUGAGAUCACCACGGAGCGGCUUAGCGCGGCGCACAAGUCUCGCGAGAGAAGCGGCGGCUGGGCCCUGCGGGCGGAGGAAGUGGAAGAAGUCGCGGGAGGGUAGGGGACCGCGGAACUUCUGGUUGCUAUGACGACGGCAAAGCCCUGGAUUCCUGUCUCCUGCGGAGAGCAGAGGCUGCAAACGUGGGUGCAGUUUUCAACCUGCCCGGCGCACUGGCGAUGGGGAAAGCUACGGGUGGUUGCGCAAGGAUAAUUUUUAAGCCGAUUCAAGAGGACAUCUCUAGAGGACCACAGUCAUGAUAUCUGGCCAAAUUUGGCAAAUGAGACUAAUGUAUUAAGAGGUUCUGGGACAGGUUUCUGCCUUUCUAGGCAGCACAUAUCUGCACCCCAACUUUCUACCAUAUAUUCAGUUUUUCGGCCUUCUCUUUCAAUCUCAUUCCUCCAUCCCCACACCCCCCAUGCUCCCUCCCUCCUCCUUUACUCAACUCGCACACACACGCAGACUGGGCUCCUUCAGGAACUGGCUCAUUCAUCUCUGUAUUCUCAGCGCCUCUAUAGGCUUGGUCCAUACUACAUAUUGGCUACUUUUUUAACAAGUUGAACGCAACAGUCCAUACCUGUCCUCAGUACUUGCCUUUGGCCCUACCUCGGAGAGUACAGUCAAGUUUGGACUCUAUCAAGCUACCCUCCCAUUUCUGUUAACACCUUGUCUUUUUCAAUGGCAUCCGCAGACGCCUUUAUACGUACUCCAAAAUGCUAGUAAGGAUGAAGAUGAACUCUCCUCAGCCCGUGUCUUUUAACUGUAGAAACUUUUCUGAGAAAUGAAAAGAGGCUUGCUCAUGACUUGGAAGCGGUGGGCUGAGGCCUCCCAAGACCAUCUGGCUUGUUCCAUUGCCAGCCAGAGUGGAGGCGACAUUCACACGAACCCAGGAGCUGCAGGGGCGCGUGAGCUACAGCUGCCUUGUGGCAUCCAAGGAGUGCGCAACUAGUCUCACUCUGUUGCCCAGGCUGGAGUGCAGUGGUGCGAUCUCAGCUUACUUCAGCCUCCGCCUCCCGGUUUCAAGUGAUUCUCCAGCCUCAACUUCACAAGUAGCUGGGAUUACAGCCACUUUUUAUCUUCUCUCCUGCAAUCCAACCCACAUAAUUUCCAUGAAGAAAGUGGAGUGGUGUCAUUUUACAACAAGAAAACUGAGUUAAGAAUAAGUCCAAUCAA